GGGCGUGUGGCUCAGUUGGUAGAGCGUUCGCUUAGCAUACUUAAAGCAUUCUUAUCUCCAGAUUGUGCAACUUUGUAUGCGAAAGGUCCUGGGUUCGAUUCCCAGCUCGUCCA